ACGGAGGAUCCAAGCGUUAUCCGGAAUCAUUGGGUUUAAAGGGUCCGUAGGCGGUUUGGUAAGUCAGUGGUGAAAGCCCAUCGCUCAACGGUGGAACGGCCAUUGAUACUGCUAGACUUGAAUUAUUAGGAAGUAACUAGAAUAUGUAGUGUAGCGGUGAAAUGCUUAGAGAUUACAUGGAAUACCAAUUGCGAAGGCAGGUUACUACUAAUAUAUUGACGCUGAUGGACGAAAGCGUGGGUAGCGAACAGGAUUAGAUACCCUGGUAGUCCACGCCGUAAACGAUGGAUACUAGCUGUUGGGCGCAAGUUCAGUGGCUAAGCGAAAGUGAUAAGUAUCCCACCUGGGGAGUACGUUCGCAAGAAUG
rnacentral:rRNA from 1 species